UACGUAGGGUGCAAGCGUUAAUCGGAAUUACUGGGCGUAAAGCGUGCGCAGGCGGCUAUGCAAGACAGAUGUGAAAUCCCCGGGCUCAACCUGGGAAUCUGCAUUUGUGACUGCAUGGCUAGAGUACGGUAGAGGGGGAUGGAAUUCCGCGUGUAGCAGUGAAAUGCGUAGAUAUACGGAGGAACACCGAUGGCGAAGGCAAUCCCCUGGACCUGUACUGACGCUCAUGCACGAAAGCGUGGGGAGCAAACAGG
rnacentral:rRNA from 1 species